UACUCCCUCCGUCCCAAAAUAAGCCAACCUCGUACUAGUACGUGACACAUCCUAGUACGAGGUUGGCUUAUUUUGGGACGGAGGGAGUAU
rfam:Oryza glaberrima chromosome 1 Oglab01_0186_25, whole genome shotgun sequence.